rnacentral:rRNA from 1 species
GCCCUUAGAGUUUGAUCCUGGCUCAGAUUGAACGCUGGCGGCAUGCCUAACACAUGCAAGUCGAACGGUAACGGGAACUAGCUUGCUAGUUUGCUGACGAGUGGCGGACGGGUGAGUAACACGUAGGAAUCUGCCCUGCAGCGGGGGAUAGCCCGGGGAAACUCGGAUUAAUACCGCAUACGCUCUACGGAGGAAAGAGGGCCUCUUCUUGAAAGCUCUCACUGCAGGAUGAGCCUACGUCCGAUUAGCUAGUUGGUAGGGUAAAGGCCUACCAAGGCAACGAUUGGUAGCUGGUCUGAGAGGAUGAUCAGCCACACCGGGACUGAGACACGGCCCGGACUCCUACGGGAGGCAGCAGUGGGGAAUAUUGGACAAUGGGCGCAAGCCUGAUCCAGCAAUGCCGCGUGUGUGAAGAAGGCCUGCGGGUUGUAAAGCACUUUUAUUGGGGAAGAAACGGCCUGGGCUAAUACCCCAUGGUAAUUGACGGUAGCCAAGGAAUAAGCACCGGCUAACUCCGUGC